rnacentral:rRNA from 1 species
UACGUAGGGGGCAAGCGUUGUCCGGAUUUAUUGGGCGUAAAGAGCGUGUAGGCGGCCAGAUAGGUCCGUUGUGAAAACUGGAGGCUUAACCUCCAGCGGUCGAUGGAAACCAUCUGGCUAGAGUCCGGAAGAGGGAGAGUGGAAUUCCUGGUGUAGCGGUGAAAUGCGCAGAUAUCAGGAAGAACACCUGUGGCGAAGGCAGCUCGCUGGCGG